UGGUAAUUAGUUUAACCCCAAAAAUAAAUGAUUUCGACUCAUUAGAUUACGAUUCCCUAGCGUAAUUACCAA
rnacentral:tRNA from 1 species